rnacentral:rRNA from 1 species
AUACGUAGGGGGCUAGCGUUAUCCGGAAUUACUGGGCGUAAAGGGUGCGUAGGUGGUUUCUUAAGUCAGAAGUGAAAGGCUACGGCUCAACCGUAGUAAGCUUUUGAAACUAAGAGACUUGAGUGCAGGAGAGGAGAGUAGAAUUCCUAGUGUAGCGGUGAAAUGCGUAGAUAUUAGGAGGAAUACCAGUUGCGAAGGCGGCUCUCUGGACUGUAACUGACACUGAGGCACGAAAGCGUGGGGAGCAAACAGGAUUAGAUACCCUGGUAGUCCACGCCGUAAACGAUGAGUACUAGCUGUCGGGGGUUACCCCCCUCGGUGGCGCAGCUAACGCAUUAAGUACUCCGCCUGGGAAGUACGCUCGCAAGAGUGAAACUCAAAGGAAUUGGCGGGGG